rnacentral:tRNA from 1 species
GGGGUGGUGGUCCAGCUUGGUCUACGAUUCCGCGCUCGGGACGCGGAGGUCGCCGGUUCAAAUCCGGCCCACCCCACCA